rnacentral:lncRNA from 1 species
GUCGAGAAGACGCCCUCGCUGGCUGGCGUAGGUGGCGCGGCCCGGGCGCCCCCGGAUGUCUCCGGGCUGCCGUGUCGCGCGGCGAACACCGUUACUCCCGGCCUUCCCCCGCUGCUGGCUUUCGGGCGAAAGCUGGGCAGCUGAGGAACGGCCUCCCCGUGGGGACGAAGGGCGGAAAUUUCCACCGAUUUCCUCACGGAGCGCUCCCGUUCUGCGAGGCUUCCCGAAUUGAUCAGCGGGAUCACUUGACUGGAGCCACCUGCCUGAGUAUCUUCUGAAGAACCACUGCAGUUUCCUUCCAGAGGUCCUCAAGCCCCCUUCAGAAAUCAAGUCCUCCUUAAAGCCAGGGCUGGAAACUGGAGCUUCCCACCAGUUCGUAUAGCACUCGCACUUGCUGCGGGCACCUGCUUAGGAGAUGGAUGCGUAGCCCCCUGGACAAGGAAAGGGAUGAGACCAGCCAGCCGCCAAGAAAAACUAGCGCAUGGUCCGGGAAGGAGACAGAGAAAACUAAGAGGCCUCCAUGACUUGGAAACACCCAGUCAGCCUGAUGGCUGCGCCUACUUCUCUGAGUUCCUGUGGCAAACUGGACGAUUUUACUCAGAUUACGUGGAGCUUCAUAGUGAAUUGUUUGCUGGAUUGAAAAAAAUCACACAGUCUUGGAAGCAGCCUGUGUGUUCACUGAUAGAUGAACGGGAUGGGGGAGUUGAGGCAGGGUCUCAACUUUUGAGCCCAAACUGGCCUCAAACUCCAGUUUAA